GCCCGCCUAGCUCAAUUGGUCAGAGCGUCAGACUUUUACGGCGGGUUUCACACCCAGUGAUCUGAAGGCUGCGAGUUCGACCCUCGCGGUGGGCU